rnacentral:rRNA from 1 species
AGUAGUCAUAUGCUUGUCUCAAAGCUUAAGCCAUGCAAGUCUCAGUACAAACUUUUUAUGAAGUGAAACCGCAAAAGGCUCAGUAAACCAGUUUUAAUUUACUAGAGUAAACAAGACUGACGUGGAUAACUGUGGUAAUUCUAGAGCUAAUACAUGCAACACAAUCCUGACCAUUCACUGGGAAGGAUGCUUUUAUUGGACCAAGACCAAUCGCUUGGGCUUUCGGGCUCAGGCGUUGACUUGAUGACUCUAGAUAACACUUCAGAUCGUAUGGUCUCCGAGCUGGCGACCUAUCUUUCAAAUGCCUGACUUAUCAACUGUCGAUGGUAGACUCUAUGUCUACCAUGGCUCUUACGGGUAACGGGGAAUCAGGGUUCGAUUCCGGAGAGGGAGCCUGAGAAACGGCUACCACAUCCAAGGAAGGCAGCAGGCACGCAAAUUACCCACUCCCGGCACGGGGAGGUAGUGACAAAAAAUAACGAUGCGGGACUCUUAUGAGGCCCCGUAAUCGGAAUGAGUACACUUUAAAUCCUUUAACGAUAAUCAAUUAGAGGGCAAGUCUGGUGCCAGCAGCCGCGGUAAUUCCAGCUCUAAUAGCGUAUAUUAAAGUUGUUGCGGUUAAAAAGCUCGUAGUUGGUUCUGCGUGCCACGCUGUCGGUUCGCCGCCUGACGGUGUAACUGGCAUGUCGUGGCAUGUCCUGUCGGUGGCGAAUCAGGGCCGCACUCGUUUUCCCUCCUCCGAGUACUCUUGGAGUGUGUGGAGCGGUGUGGUCUCUUGGUUCGCCGGCUCUAUCCUGCCGCGGUGCUUUUAACCAAGUGUCGAGGUAGGCCGACACGUUUACUUUGAACAAAUUAGAGUGCUCAAAGCAGGCUUAAAUCUCUGCCUGAAUAGUGGUGCAUGGAAUAAUGGAACAGGACCUUGGUUCUAUUCUGUUGGUCUCCGGAACACAAGGUAAUGAUCAAUGUGGACAGGCGGGGGCAUUCGUAUUGCGACGUUAGAGGUGAAAUUCUUGGAUCGUCGCAAGACGCACUAGAGCGAAAGCAUUUGCCAAGUAUGUCUUAAUUGAUCAAGAACGAAAGUUAGAGGUUCGAAGGCGAUCAGAUACCGCCCUAGUUCUAACCAUAAACGAUGCCAGCCAGCGAUCCGCCGACGUUCCUCCGAUGACUCGGCGGGGAGCUUCUUCCCGGGAAACCAAAGCUUUUGGGUUCCGGGGGAAGUAUGGUUGCAAAGCUGAAACUUAAAGGAAUUGACGGAAGGGCACCACCAGGAGUGGAGCCUGCGGCUUAAUUUNAAACCUCACCAGGUCAGGACAUUGGAAGGAUUGACAGAUUGAUAGCUCUUUCUUGAUUCAGUGGUUAGUGGUGCAUGGCCGUUCUUAGUUGGUGGAUCGAUUUGUCUGGUUAAUUCCGAUAACGAACGAGACUCUAGCCUAUUAACUAGGCGUUUCCGGUAUCGAUGCUACCGGCGAAACUUAUUCUUCUUAAGGGGACAGGCGGCUUCCAGCCGCACGAAAUUGAGCAAUAACAGGUCUGUGAUGCCCUUAGAUGUCCUGGGCCGCACGCGCGCUACACUGAAAGAAUCAGCGUGUGCCUCCCUGGUCCGAUAGGAUCGGGCAACCCGCUGAACCUCUUUCGUGCUAGGAAUUGGGGCUUGCAAUUGUUCCCCAUGAACGAGGAAUUCCCAGUAAGCGCGAGUCAUAAGCUCGCGUUGAUUACGUCCCUGCCCUUUGUACACACCGCCCGUCGCUACUACCGAUUGAAUGAUUUAGUGAGGUCUUCGGACCGACCGUAAGCGAUGCCGCCUCCAUACGGUAUCGAUGUACGUUGGGAAGAUGACCAAACUUGAUCAUUUAGAGGAAGUAAAAGUCGUAACAAGGUUUCCGUAGGUGAACCUGCGGAAGGA